UGGAAGUAAAAGUCGUAACAAGGUCUCCGUAGGUGAACCUGCGGAGGGAUCAUUACACAAAUAUGAAGGCGGGCUGGAACCUCUCGGGGUUACAGCCUUGCUGAAUUAUUCACCCUUGUCUUUUGCGUACUUCUUGUUUCCUUGGUGGGUUCGCCCACCACUAGGACAAACAUAAACCUUUUGUAAUUGCAAUCAGCGUCAGUAACAAAUUAAUAAUUACAACUUUCAACAACGGAUCUCUUGGUUCUGGCAUCGAUGAAGAACGCAGCGAAAUGCGAUAAGUAGUGUGAAUUGCAGAAUUCAGUGAAUCAUCGAAUCUUUGAACGCACAUUGCGCCCUUUGGUAUUCCAAAGGGCAUGCCUGUUCGAGCGUCAUUUGUACCCUCAAGCUUUGCUUGGUGUUGGGCGUCUUGUCUCUAGCUUUGCUGGAGACUCGCCUUAAAGUAAUUGGCAGCCGGCCUACUGGUUUCGGAGCGCAGCACAAGUCGCACUCUCUAUCAGCAAAGGUCUAGCAUCCAUUAAGCCUUUUUUUCAACUUUUGACCUCGGAUCAGGUAGGGAUACCCGCUGAACUUAAGCAUAUCAAUAAGCGGAGGAA
rnacentral:misc_RNA from 1 species